UACAGAGGUCUCAAGCGUUGUUCGGAUUCAUUGGGCGUAAAGGGUGCGUAGGUGGCGCCAUAAGUCAGGUGUGAAAUCUCGGGGCUCAACUCCGAAACUGCACUUGAUACUGUGGUGCUCGAGUACUGGAGAGGAGAUUGGAAUUUACGGUGUAGCAGUGAAAUGCGUAGAUAUCGUAAGGAAGACCAGUGGCGAAGGCGAAUCUCUGGACAGUUACUGACACUGAGGCACGAAGGCCAGGGGAGCAAACGGG
rnacentral:rRNA from 1 species